rnacentral:rRNA from 4 species
AAGGCGGGCUGGAAUCUCUCGGGGUUACAGCCUUGCUGAAUUAUUCACCCUUGUCUUUUGCGUACUUCUUGUUUCCUUGGUGGGUUCGCCCACCACUAGGACAAACAUAAACCUUUUGUAAUUGCAAUCAGCGUCAGUAACAAAUUAAUAAUUACAACUUUCAACAACGGAUCUCUUGGUUCUGGCAUCGAUGAAGAACGCAGCGAAAUGCGAUAAGUAGUGUGAAUUGCAGAAUUCAGUGAAUCAUCGAAUCUUUGAACGCACAUUGCGCCCUUUGGUAUUCCAAAGGGCAUGCCUGUUCGAGCGUCAUUUGUACCCUCAAGCUUUGCUUGGUGUUGGGCGUCUUGUCUCUAGCUUUGCUGGAGACUCGCCUUAAAGUAAUUGGCAGCCGGCCUACUGGUUUCGGAGCGCAGCACAAGUCGCACUCUCUAUCAGCAAAGGUCUAGCAUCCAUUAAGCCUUUUUUCAACUUUUGACCUCGGAUCAGGUAGGGAUACCCGCUGAACUUAAGCAUAUCAAUAAGCGGAGGAA